UACGUAGGGGGCAAGCGUUGUCCGGAAUCAUUGGGCGUAAAGAGCGUGUAGGCGGCCAGAAAAGUCCGCUGUGAAAACUCGAGGCUCAACUUCGAGCUGUCGGUGGAAACUUUCUGGCUAGAGUCCGGAAGAGGAGAAUGGAAUUCCUGGUGUAGCGGUGAAAUGCGCAGAUAUCAGGAGGAACACCGGUGGCGAAGGCGGGUCUCUGGGCCGAUACUGACGCUGAGGAGCGAAAGCGUGGGGGAGCGAACAGG
rnacentral:rRNA from 1 species